UGGGGAAUAUUGCGCAAUGGGCGCAAGCCUGAUGCAGCCAUGCCGCGUGUAUGAAGAAGGCCUUCGGGUUGUAAAGUACUUUCAGCGGGGAGGAAGGUGUUGAGGCUAAUAACCUCAGCAAUUGACGUUACCCGCAGAAGAAGCACCGGCUAACUCCGUGCCAGCAGCCGCGGUAAUACGGAGGGUGCAAGCGUUAAUCGGAAUUACUGGGCGUAAAGCGCACGCAGGCGGUCUGUCAAGUCGGAUGUGAAAUCCCCGGGCUCAACCUGGGAACUGCAUUCGAAACUGGCAGGCUAGAGUCUUGUAGAGGGGGGUAGAAUUCCAGGUGUAGCGGUGAAAUGCGUAGAGAUCUGGAGGAAUACCGGUGGCGAAGGCGGCCCCCUGGACAAAGACUGACGCUCAGGUGCGAAAGCGUGGGGAGCAAACA
rnacentral:rRNA from 1 species